rnacentral:rRNA from 1 species
AGUCGAGCGAAAUCAAUAGGAGCUUGCUUCCUGUUUGGUUAGCGGCGGACGGGUGAGUAACACGUGGGCAACCUGCCUGUAAGACUGGGAUAACUUCGGGGAAACCGGAGCUAAUACCGGGAUAAUCCUUUUCCUCUCAUGAGGAAAAGCUGAAAGUCGGUUUCGGCUGACACUUACAGAUGGGCCCGCGGCGCAUUAGCUAGUUGGUGAGGUAACGGCUCACCAAGGCGACGAUGCGUAGCCGACCUGAGAGGGUGAUCGGCCACACUGGGACUGAGACACGGCCCAGACUCCUACGGGAGGCAGCAGUAGGGAAUCUUCCGCAAUGGACGAAAGUCUGACGGAGCAACGCCGCGUGAGCGAUGAAGGCCUUCGGGUCGUAAAGCUCUGUUGUUAGGGAAGAACAAGUAUCGGAGUAACUGCCGGUACCUUGACGG